rnacentral:rRNA from 1 species
GUCCUAGCAGUAAACGGUGCACGUUUGGUGUGGGAGGAUUCGACCCCUUCUGCGCCGGAGCUAACGCGUUAAACGUGCCGCCUGGGAAGUACGGUCGCAAGAUUAAAACUCAAAGAAAUUGACGGGGACCCGCACAAGCGGUGGAGUAUGUGGCUUAAUUCGAUGCAACGCGAAGAACCUUACCUAGGCUUGACAUGCUCUGUGUCUACGGUGAAAGCCGUAUAGUGUAGCAAUACACGCUUUGCACAGGUGCUGCAUGGCUGUCGU